CAGUAGUCACGAGUUUGAUCCUGGCUCAGGAUGAACGCUGGCGGUAUGCCUUACACAUGCAAGUCGAACGAGACCUUCGGGUCUAGUGGCGCACGGGUGCGUAACGCGUGGGAAUCUGCCCUUUGCUUCGGAAUAACAGUUAGAAAUGACUGCUAAUACCGGAUAAUGUCUUCGGACCAAAGAUUUAUCGCCUUUAGAUGGGCCCGCGUUGGAUUAGCUAGUUGGUGGGUAAAGGCCUACCAAGGCGACGAUCCAUAGCUGGUCUGAGAGGAUGAUCAGCCACACUGGGACUGAGACACGGCCCAGACUCCUACGGGAGGCAGCAGUGGGGAAUAUUGGACAAUGGGCGAAAGCCUGAUCCAGCAAUGCCGCGUGAGUGAUGAAGGCCUUAGGGUUGUAAAGCUCUUUUACCCGAGAUGAUAAUGACAGUAUCGGGAGAAUAAGCUCCGGCUAACUCCGUG
rnacentral:rRNA from 1 species